GCUCUCCAGCGCAUCGGUUGCCUCAUCGUCUCCGUAAGUUUGCGAGUUCAUUAAAUGGGAACAAAGAUCGUAUUUUUGCCCUUUGUUUUGAGUUUUUCUUUUCGAUGCGCUUGUUUAUCCUCCGGUAAAAGAAAAAAACGUCGAUUUUAGUACCUUGGAAGGAAUUUAAAAGAAUCCGUCGGGAAAUCUUGGGUGAAAUUGGAUGUUUUCUUGCUUGCUUCUACCUUGCUGCUGCUUCAAAUCAACCUUUAACUUGGUCGGUUUUAUUUGAUGAAUCUGGCGUAGAUUAUAUUACUGUAACUUCUAGCAUAUUUGGAUGCCCUAGUAGGAAUUUGUCAUACAAAUUAAUAAUUUUGUUUAAUCGCACAUACAGAAUUGUAAAAAGUGGAGAAGUUUUAUUUUGGGCCCAGUAUUCUUGUUACAAAGCAUGAUAUAAACAGAAAACUCGAACAAUUCUUCCUAUCCAUGGUCAAACAAUUCUUCCAUCUAUGUGCCGUGUGUAAAACUCGAGGAGAAAAUGCGAAAUGUUAGCUCAUUAGGGGUUUAAGACAAAGGCUAUGGAACUAGUUCGAUCUCACCUUUAGGCUUUUGCUUAUAGCUUUUAACUAUGCUAUCUUAAGUUGGCUUCUUUGCCUCAAAUUUUCGUUGUAAUGUGGCCACAUUGAAUUCUUUUUUUUCUUCUUCUUAUCUACACAUGUUCAUACAGUCUCCAGACAAGCAUUUCAUUAUCUAGUCAGUUUGGCUAGACUUGUACUACAUAUGCACCUCGGUAUUUUAUCUUGGUGAUGCCCUCCCUAUGUGCUGUAUGAUACUCUUUCUUGCCCCGCUAAUGGUUACCUCUCAAAUUUCUAGCCCAGUGAUGGACACCAAAAAGCCUACAAUCUCU
rnacentral:lncRNA from 1 species